CAAUUAUGUGUUUUGGUUGUCUGAGUUUCAUGUUGGCAAUUUCUUAAUGAUUAAACAUGAGGCUCUGAUACCAAUUGAUGCAUAAACCAU